CCUACGGGGCGCAGCAGUGGGGAAUAUUGGACAAUGGGCGAAAGCCUGAUCCAGCCAUGCCGCGUGUGUGAAGAAGGCCUUCGGGUUGUAAAGCACUUUCAGUGGGGAAGAAAGCCUUGGGGCUAAUACCCUCGAGGAAGGACAUCACCCACAGAAGAAGCACCGGCUAACUCCGUGCCAGCAGCCGCGGUAAUACGGAGGGUGCGAGCGUUAAUCGGAAUUACUGGGCGUAAAGCGCGCGUAGGCGGUCUGAUAAGCCGGUUGUGAAAGCCCCGGGCUCAACCUGGGAACGGCAUCCGGAACUGUCAGGCUAGAGUGCAGGAGAGGAAGGUAGAAUUCCCGGUGUAGCGGUGAAAUGCGGAGAGAUCGGGAGGAAUACCAGUGGCGAAGGCGGCCUUCUGGACUGACACUGACGCUGAGGUGCGAAAGCGUGGGUAGCAAACAGGAUUAGAUACCCCAGUAGUC
rnacentral:rRNA from 1 species